AGAAAUAACCAAAAUUGAAUUUCUAAUUCAAAUAUAAUAUUAAUUUAUUUUAUUUCUG
rnacentral:tRNA from 1 species